UAGGACAAAGUGUCAAGCACAUUAAUCUUUGAAGUUAAAAGCUAAAUCCUAA
rnacentral:tRNA from 1 species